rnacentral:rRNA from 1 species
UACGAAGGGGGCUAGCGUUGUUCGGAAUUACUGGGCGUAAAGCGCGCGCAGGCGGUCUUCCAAGUCAGUGGUGAAAGCCCGGAGCUCAACUCCGGAACUGCCAUUGAAACUGUUAGACUUGAGGAUGAGAGAGGUGAGUGGAAUUCCCAGUGUAGAGGUGAAAUUCGUAGAUAUUGGGAAGAACACCGGUGGCGAAGGCGGCGACCUGGUCCUUGACUGACGCUGAGGCGCGAAAGCGUGGGGAGCAAACAGG